rnacentral:rRNA from 1 species
GAUGAACGCUGGCGGCGUGCCUAAUACAUGCAAGUCGAGCGAACAGAUGAGGAGCUUGCUCCUCUGACGUUAGCGGCGGACGGGUGAGUAACACGUGGAUAACCUACCUAUAAGACUGGGAUAACUUCGGGAAACCGGAGCUAAUACUGGAUAAUAUAUUGAACCGCAUGGUUCAAUAGUGAAAGACGGUUUUGCUGUCACUUAUAGAUGGAUCCGCGCUGCAUUAGCUAGUUGGUAAGGUAACGGCUUACCAAGGCAACGAUGCGUAGCCGACCUGAGAGGGUGAUCGGCCACACUGGAACUGAGACACGGUCCAGACUCCUACGGGAGGCAGCAGUAGGGAAUCUUCCGCAAUGGGCGAAAGCCUGACGGAGCAACGCCGCGUGAGUGAUGAAGGUCUUCGGAUCGUAAAACUCUGUUAUUAGGGAAGAACAAAUGUGUAAGUAACUAUGCACGUCUUGACGGUACCUAAUCAGAAAGCCACGGCUAACUACGUG